GCCCUGGGGCCAGGCACACCACAGCAUGCAGGCAGGGAGCUCUGCUGAAGGAUGAGGGCUUGUAAAAGCCACGAGUGGCUCUUGGGUAACAGAGCCAAAGCCUCUCUGUGCUGCUUCGUCAUUUUCUGACACCCAACACUGCUACCCAGCUGCUUCCUGCUCUUCUACUGCUUCUCCUAAUUCCUGUGCUUUCAAGAGUGGCAUGAAUUCUGCCAUGUGCCCCUCUGAGAGUCACAGUUAUGGGAUAAUGACAAACAUUUCCCAACCCACAGGAGGCCACCUGAGAAGACUGAGCCUGAAACACCAGCUGAGAUCUCUUAUGAGAGCUGGAAGGGCUCACAGGCGGAAUAAGCACUGUCCCAAAGGUUUCAGCCAGCCAUACUUCCUAACGCCCAGCCUUUGCACAGUUCAGAGAAGCAUCUUACCUCCUCUCUUUGAAGACCGGGAGGACUUGGAAGAGGUGGACCAUUGCUUGGUGAGCGAUCUCCCAGAGGCUGUUUCACUGUUACCAGAGGCGUCUUCUGGGUCCACAGGUGAAACUGUGUCGGCUUCAACGUCCUUCUCACCAGGAGCAUCUUUGACUCCAUGCUGCUCAGGAUCAUUUUCACCACAGAACUGGGCCAUCUUCUGAGCCAGCAUCAGCUGUGCCUCCUUCUCCAGCUGCCGGAUAUCCUCGAUGGUGAGCCCGUACCACUCGUCCUGCCAGCACCAAGCCUGCCGAUGAGCACGGACCAUGACCUUCCGCAAGCCUGCAAAGCCAGAAUGUCCCAGUCAGCAAUGCUGGAGAAGUACAGGAGGAGGUGUGUUCCCUUCCCCAAACCCUCAAGACUCAGUGGCAUUGAUAGUACAGAAGCGUGACAACAUAAUGCCUCAAGCUGUAGAAAUGGAUGUUCAUAUACCAAUCAAGGUUGGAAAAAUCAGUCAUUUCUGUACUGUACCUCCUCAGUUAUUGCUAAACAAUCAUUCACUGACAAAUUAUCUGGUGUUCUGCAACUGCUUUUAGCUUGUGGAGGCAUUGCAUAAUUCCACAUCCAAGACUGUGCCCUGCAAUUGCCUGCUCUGCCAAGGAAGAGCCAGGCACAGGCCACAGAUAGCACCCUCAUGAAACUCAGGGAAGCUGCAACACCUAAAUCCAGCCUUCAAAGUGAGUGACACGUCCCCAGAAGAACGUUAAAAAACCAACCAAGAAGAAAUAAUCACAUUUUUAUCUUAUUAUUUUUAAUCCAGGUUUGUUUCAAGUGGUUCCUUCACAGUUACCACAUAACCCACCACAAUAUGGGACACGAUAGAAGGACUUCCCACAUUGCUUGUGCUGAGAGGACCAGAAGCUUUCCUUUUCUUGGAAACCCCGUACUUGGUUUCCACACAUCAGUGAAAAACCACUACCAGUGUGAGCUCCAGAGAGCGUGGAAUGGGAAGAAAAGGGAGGCAGGGAAUAAAGCAGGCUUUAUUUUGCAGAUACAAACUUUCUUCCGUAGCAUGAGAAAAAUGAAGUGCUUGAAGCCAAUUUAAAACACGACUUCUAUGUGCCACAUAACUGAAAUGAAUAACUACCUCAAUAUCAGCACACAGUGCUCACAACAAGGCAAGAGAAACUGCCCCAAAACGUGCAGCCAAUGGUUAACGUCACCACAUCACCAAGAUUUUAGAGCAGUGAUCACUGUGGAUUUUCAACCAAUUUUUCUGCUUCAAGCUCACAUCAGGCCUGGGCACUCUAUUUUCAGCUCUGCACUUCAGUUAGUCCUCCAUGCCACCAGCUAACACAAGCCACCCUAUCAGGAAGAAACAAGCACAGAGAUCAGCAGCUAACAGGAUGGAUCAGCUCAACCUGAACUUCAUUUGCACAGUAAGAUUAAGUCUAUCAAUAUUUUAUGUAGUUCUCCGCUUGACUUUCAGAUGGGAGCUCCACUUAACAGGAGCACACCUGAACCAGCAGACUGUGACCUUCUGGGGGCUGAACAAGGAGCAUUGGCCACUUAAUUCUAUUCAACCUUAGCCAAGAUUCAGUGUUAUUUCCCUUACCAGAUUACUUUUUGCAGAACUGCAGGAGAACGUUUUAGCCUUUUCCACCUCCUGUUAGGACUGACAAUCAACAGAGCUUAAAAAACAGAGAUUAAACUCUCAUCACAUCCAACAGAAAGCCAGGAAAACACUUCCCUUGCUACACCCCACAUCACAGCCACCCUUGGGCUCACUUGCUCCCAAGCCCAGUGGAGCCCACGGACCUCCCCCCACUGGGACUGCUCACGUCAGGUUUAUUAAACAUCCCCCAGAUCACCCUUUCUUAAAGCCUUCUCUUUUGAAAACAAGAUGGCAUGAUUCAUCAUUUCAGAUCAGUUAUGAAUCAAAAAGAUUGAGAUUAUUUUCCUAGCCUCUGGCCUUCACCUGGGACACACCAGCAAUGCCACUCUUCUCUUUUUCAAGCACAGGGAGAAACCUGGAAGAGAGCAAGGCUGUCCAGGUACAGAAGAAAUUGAAAAAUAAACACCGACGAACCUCUACGCAGCUGUACGAAUUCAAGAUCCAGCUACAAAUGACUGACACCAUGUUGGAACAGGUGCAGUGGAAAAAUUUGAGUCUUACAGUUUCUCCUCAACAUGUCAGAGAAAAACAAGCUUAUGUGGAAAGUGAAAGGGAAGGCAUAGAUCAGGAAAUAGAGUGCGGUUGUGAACAGCUCUUCUUAACAGGUCAGAGAUGCCCAACAGCACAGUGCUGAAGUCUUCCAACUCAAACCAUCCCAUGAUUCCUCUCCAGAACUGAUGGAGAACCCCACGGCUUAGGCAGGCAAGUCGCCCACUGAAGUCAGCCAGAAUAACAGGAGUUUUGUAAGGCUGCAGGCAGCAGCUGAUUCCAGUAGUAUCAGUAGUUAACAAGACUUCAUUAUUUCUCUAGAGUGCACAAAGCUUUCGUUAAAAAAAACAAAACAAAACAAAGAAGGAAGCCACACACGCACAUCGGUACACAUGCAAAUUGAGUUCAGAAGUGUUCGUCAUUUUUGUGUUGAUUUAAUUAUAACAUUUCCCACUGUUGUGCAGAAAGAUGAUCUGUGAAGAGUCUAGCAGGGUGCAAACAUUCAAAUCAUUUGCCUUUCAACUCACCACCUCACCAGCUCUGCUGAAUCCUCCAAGUGCUGGCUUUUAUAAGUGACCUGCCUGUAGAUUGUGGUGUUUAACUCAGCUUCACAAAAGGAAGUGUAAGUGAAUACGACAAAAGCCAGGACAGCUGAACUUAAAAAGCAUUUGUCUGCAGUUUGGGUUUGUUUUUCAAUUUGAAUUAAAAGGAGCAACUACAGCAGUUAAACAAAAACCACCACCAAAUCUUGCCCAGAUCUCCCUCAACCAUCUACAUAAAGCAACUGGUCAGAUGCCCAUCGAUUAUGCACACAGUGGCAACAUCCCAGAGCUUUUAUAAUGCACUCUCACAGUUUCCUGGCAGCUGAUAAAGGAUGUCUGAUUUUCUCCACGCAACAUUAUUUCCUUGAUGGUCACAGCAGACUUGAUAUCCUUGUCAGUGCAGUUCUGGCUGCCUGACUGUAUCUGAUCAAAGGUGACUGCAGCUAUAUCUGCUGACUCCCUGCCUUCCCUUGUUCAGACCUCUCACAAAGGGAAGUGUAUUGUAACAUCCGUAUGGUGCAAAUCACGACCCACCUUCUCUUCAAAAGACCAGUGGGCAGUGCUCGUCUGGAUAAACUUUUGUCCUGGAAUGCUUAAAUGAAGACAAAGUUCUACAAAA